UGGUAACACUUCCAUGCACCACUUCUACAGUUUCUUACCAGAGACGUUUCUCUGAACUUGUGGAGCAUUGGAAACCAUGAGAAAGAGGCUCAGCAUUCACUCCUGAGCAUGAAGCCAGCUCUUGGUGGUGCUUUUCGGCAGUUGCCUUUUGCCACUGACGAUCCCUCUUCUCUUCCUUUGGGAGAGUGAAAGGGAAAGGAUGCCAUGUGAAUGAU
ensembl:snoRNA U3 Small nucleolar RNA U3